GAUGAACGCUGGCGGCGUGCCUAAUACAUGCAAGUCGAACGGACGGACGAGACGCUUGCUUCUCUGAUGUUAGCGGCGGACGGGUGAGAAACACGUGGAUCCCCUACCUAUAAGACUGGGAACACUUCGAGACUCCGGCGCAAAUCCCGUAUAAUCUUUUGAACCGCAUGGUUCAAUAGUGAAAGACGGUCUUGCUGUCACUUAUAGCUGGAUCCGAGCUGCAUGAGCUAGUUGGUAAGGUAACGGCUUACCAAGGCAACGAUGCAUAGCCGACCUGUGAGGGUGGUCGCCCACCUGGGAGCUUGGACACGGUCCAUACGCCUACGGGAGGCAGCAGUAGGGAAUCUUCCGCAAUAGUCGAAAGCCUGACGGAGCAACGCCGCGUGAGUGAUGAAGGUCUUCGGAUCGUAAAACUCUGUUACGAGGUAAGAACAGAUUUGGAAGGAACCGUGGACAGCGUGACGGUACCUAAUCAGAAAGCCCCGGCUAACUACGUG
rnacentral:rRNA from 1 species